rnacentral:lncRNA from 1 species
AGCCAGUGUCUUUGGGGAGGCAGGCAAGCUUGUUGUGCCAAAAAAGGUCUUUGUUUUAAAUCAGAUUGGAAGGGGGAGAACACCAUUGUAAAAAAAAUAACUAGUUUUUGCAGGCGACCGGAGGGCUGAGAGGCAGGCAGCAGGCUUGGACAUCAUCACAAGUCGGUGACAGAUGGCAACAUGAGAAGGAGAACGGAAGAUAGGGAUGACUCAAAGAGAAAAACAUCUUUGUGGCAAUCUCUACAGGGUCUACAGCUUUGCCUGCUGUCUGCUGCUGAUGCAUUAGAGCUCCUGCAGAGAGGACCAAUAUCCAGGAGAGCGGAUCACGUGGGAGCGGAUGCUUGGAGUUCCGGAAGUACAGACAGAUGUAUGGAGUGGAAAAGUACCAGUGUUAAAGGUUGUGUCGAUGCUUCCUUCUAAGUGGUUCCUAUGCCGUCUGAGACAGCACACUCGUGGAGAAGACAACAAUUAGAAGCCUAUGCUCGGAGCAGAGAAGCCUUUUAAAAGCACCUGGAUUUGAGAAUUCCAUCAGGAUACAGGUAUCAAAAGCUGGCUUGAUGUCUGUAGUACAAAGUUAGAAGCUGGAAGGUCAGUCUGGCCAGAC